UUCUCUCCCUUGCUCGCUCGCUAUAGAUGUAAAACAACAGCGUUUUUCUUCAUAGCUUUGUUCGUUUCCCUUCCUUCCCUUUCUCCUCCCAAUUUAUGUCUCUUUUAUCGGCCAUUGUUUUGCCCUAUGCUUCCUAUUCUCCUUCGAUUCCUGCGGUUCAGUUUUCCUUCCUUUGAUUUGAGAAUGCACAGGUGCCGAGUGGUGGAUUCAACACUUCGGGAACUCUUUUUCCCUUCCAAGUCGGGUGCCAUUUAUCAGUUGUAAAAAUUAUGAAUUCCUCGGUUCUAUGCCAUGGAUGAUUGUGCUGUUCAGUUUGGAUUUGGAAUUCUUUUGAGGAUGCUGGUAGCCCUGUGCUUAUACUGUCAUCUAAUUCAGAAGUGGGUUAGUACAGAUGGUGCCAUUCAUGCUUCAUAAACAUCAUUUCCCUUGGUUGCUCCAUUAUUAGGCGUGAUUUAUGGUGGAGAGCUGGAUGCUUCUUCUCUAAUGUGAUUAUCAGAAAAAGACGAGAAGCAUCUUAAAUUGAAUCAUGUCUCCAGAAUUAUAUAUGGAGUUAUGGACGACAUACUGCGAUUGAGCUUCACAUAUUAAUACUUUGCAUUUCAUAUAUUGGAGGGCUGUUUUUGCAUACGUAAAGUGCUCUAUUGCUGUAAGAGGAUCGCUUACACUCAUCAAUGGCUUUGAGUUGAUUGGAUCCCUUCACUUCACUUCACAGUGCUUACAAGUAAGUGCUAUCACAAAGACACUUGGAACAUCAUUAAAGCUACCUUGACAAAUCUGAGUUAUGGUACAUGCUUUCAAAAACCUUAACAGAAGAAGCUGCUUGGAAGUUUACAAAAGAGAAUGGAAUAGACAUGGUUACAAUAAAUCCAGGAUUGGUGAUUGGUCCUCUCUUACAACCAACACUUAAUACUAGCUCAGAGUCUGUUCUGAAACUUAUAAAUGGUACUAAACCUGGAGAAUAUGGACAAAACCAGGCAUUGGAAAAUCGUGGGCUGUAGCGCAUACACAGGGGAGGGGCUGCUUGAGGGAUUUGAUUGGUUGGUUCAGGACAUGAUGAUACCUUAGGAUCUAGUUAACAUUAAACAAUAGAGUUAGGGUUUUUUUUAUUGGCCCUCUCAGAGAACUGAUUAAGGUCCAUUUGUACUGUUUUAUUAACUAUUUUAUUGUUGUAGAAUUUAGUCAAGCUGUGAAUUCGACAAAAAAAAAAGUCAAGCUGUGAAACUUUUUGGGUCAAUAGUAUUAUUGAAACUUUCAAUGGGAAGUUUGGGUCAA